rnacentral:rRNA from 1 species
AACGAACGCUGGCGGCGUGGAUUAGGCAUGCAAGUCGAGCGAGAAAGGGGGAGCAAUCCCCCGAGUACAGCGGCGAACUGGUGAGUAACAGGUGGGUAAUGUGCCCUGGAGUGGGGAAGUAACAGGCGGAAACGCUUGCUAAUACCGCAUACGGCCUCGAGGACCCCGGUCCGAAAGGCUAAAGGCUUCGGCCGCUCCAGGAU